UUCAUUAAUGUAUUUGUUAAGCCAUCCACGCACGAUCAUGUUUUAACAUUUGUAAGUUUUCUUGGACAAUAGGAUGUUUAGAGUUAAAGAUUUGGACAUUAACACAUUCAAUUGAAGCGUCACACAGAAAGUUCAUAGUCUUUUGUUUCAAUGGUUUUGUCAGAAUGAUUUUGUGUUGUAUGCUUAUUAUUUGUUAGUUGCAGUUCAUUACACAAUUAUAAAAAAAGUAUUUAUUUUUGUAUUUUGUUUGAUGAAGAGUAAUUGGCUUCACCAAAAUAUUUUACCUUGUUCAGUCCAAUAGAUUGAUCUGGACAAUUUUUCAUUUACCUGAAUUGUGACAAGAAGAAAUGAAUUUGUAAGUAAUUUGAAUAAGAGUGUUUGUUUUUGUAUAAAAAACAACCUAAGCAGCAUGAUCAACACCCUCAGCAGCCUCACCACCUUCUUCAAUCUUGUCGUUGUUAACCUCUCGUAUAUAGGUGUGAAAACGAUGCCUCAACCUCCAUAAAUCUCGCUUAAGCUGUUCCAUACACUGAUUAAGGUCCCUCACCUCAUCUUUCAGCAGCUCAAUCUCUCAAACAGUGUGAUAACGUCUUCUUCUUUGAACCACACGACUAUUUCCAUUAUUUGAGGAAGAUAUAUUUUUUUGUGUGUAAAAGAUGCGUUUGAAAAGUUGUUGAGGAAACUCUAUAAGAUAAGAUAAAAGAUGAACAAAAUCAUAAAAAAAAGAGGAUACGUAUGUAUAUAAAUAGGCGAAGG
rnacentral:lncRNA from 1 species